rnacentral:rRNA from 1 species
CUUGAACGCUGGCGGCAUGCUUUACACAUGCAAGUCGAACAGUAACAGGCCGCAAGGUGCUGACGAGUGGCGAACGGGUGAGUAAUGCAUCGGAACGUGCCCAGUCGUGGGGGAUAACGCAGCGAAAGCUGUGCUAAUACCGCAUACGAUCUGUGGAUGAAAGCGGGGGACCGUAAGGCCUCGCGCGAUUGGAGCGGCCGAUGUCAGAUUAGGUAGUUGGUGGGGUAAAGGCCUACCAAGCCGACGAUCUGUAGCUGGUCUGAGAGGACGACCAGCCACACUGGGACUGAGACACGGCCCAGACUCCUACGGGAGGCAGCAGUGGGGAAUUUUGGACAAUGGGCGCAAGCCUGAUCCAGCAAUGCCGCGUGCAGGAAGAAGGCCUUCGGGUUGUAAACUGCUUUUGUACGGAACGAAACGGUCUGGGUUAAUACCCUGGGCUAAUGACGGUACCGUAAGAAUAAGCACCGGCUAACUACGUGCCAGCAGCCGCCGUAACAC